AAGAGUGAACUAGUCUAACUGAAAUACACAAAAUCACAAAUGUGCUUAUUGUGAUAACGUAAGGGAAAAAAAUGAUAUUACCUUACUAUAAGUGUUGUCUAAAUAACUGGUGCCAGAAGACUCGGUAACACCAGAAACACGAACGUUAGUCGUCUUAAACAGGCGUAAAGGGUAAGUAGGCUGCUUUAAAGUUUAUUUUUAAUAAGCUAAUUAGUAAUAUUCCGAUUGCUCCAGUCUUUAAUUUAAAAGAAGUAUUCCAUCAAUAGAAUGAAAACUAGUUAAAUAAAGCAUGGAGCUACUAAAAAUUUUCAUGACCUUUAAUAAAAUAAUUAAGGCUAACUUACAAUGAAAAUAGGGAAUUAUUAGGUUAUCUAUUAGCUGAGCNAUUUUUAUCCNNAAGCAGAAUGCUAGUUCACACUGGUCUCAGACUUUUUGGAAGCAGGUAAGAACUACUAAUAUUAAUUAUUAAAAUUUUUAAAAAUAGAUACACUUAAAGCUAGAAUCAUAAUUGAGAUAAACCAAAUAAUACUUAUGUGUAAGGGCGAAAUCUAAAAAUACUAAGUAGAAUAUUAAGGGUGAAAACUUUUUAUCUAGUAAUGAUUGACGCUGAGGUACGAAAGUGAGAACAGGGAAUAGGAUUAGAUACCCAGUUACCUCUCACCGUCAACGAUGAAUGGAAGUUGUCUAGUUUAAUUAAAUUAGUGACGAUGUUAACGCGAUAACCAUUCCGCCUUGAAGAGUAACGGUUGCNAAAACUGAAACCNAAUCAAAACAUCG
rnacentral:rRNA from 1 species